GAUGAAGAACGUAGCGAAAUGCGAUAAGUAAUGUGAAUUGCAGAGUUCAGUGAAUCAUCGAGUCUUUGAACGCACAUUGCGCCCCCUGGUAUUCCGGGGGGCAUGCCUGUCCGAGCGUCAUUGCUGCCCUCAAGCACGGCUUGUGUGUUGGGCCUCCGUCCUCCUCCCGGGGGACGGGCCCGAAAGGCAGCGGCGGCACCGCGUCCGGUCCUCGAGCGUAUGGGGCUUCGUCACCCGCUCUUGUAGGCCCGGCCGGCGCUUGCCGACACAUCAAUCUUUUUUCCAGGUUGACCUCGGAUCAGGUAGGGAUACCCGCUGAACUUAAGCAUAUCAAUAAGCGGAGGA
rnacentral:misc_RNA from 1 species